rnacentral:rRNA from 1 species
GACGGGGGGGGCAAGUGUUCUUCGGAAUGACUGGGCGUAAGGGCACGUAGGCGGUGAAUCGGGUUGAAAGUGAAAGUCGCCAAAAAGUGGCGGAAUGCUCUCGAAACCAAUUCACUUGAGUUGAGACAGAGGAGAGUGGAAUUUCGUGUGUAGGGGUGAAAUCCGUAGAUCUACGAAGGAACGCCAAAAGCGAAGGCAGCUCUCUGGGUCCCUACCGACGCUGGGGUGCGAAAGCAUGGGGAGCGAACAGGG